rnacentral:lncRNA from 1 species
UUGUACUUUACAUUGUGUAAAAGCUUUUCAUAUAUUUUAUUCUAUUGGAUCGUUGUAACAACAGGCAUGUAAUAACAGGUAUUAUUCUCUCUAUUGUCCAGAUAAUAACUCUGAAGUCUGUAGAGAUUUACUACCCAAGGUCAUGGUGCUGGGCAACUACAGGUCCAGGGGCCAGCCAGAGCAGAGUUGCAUAUUCCACCCUUCCCUGUAAGGCCUGUGUCCCUGCACUGGCUUCUGAGGCAGAGCCUGCCUUCUUGGAAAUUCAGACCUCGUGUCCUCACUAAGCACUUCCCAGACAUCUUCCUCCGCUGGGACAGACAGCCUAAGCUCUGAAAACAAAAGAAGAGACGUCUGUGGAGAAAAGGAGCUAUGCAGCCUGCCGCCUGAGGGAAAUCUUCUCUUUUUCUUGGCAUUUUAUGGCUAACAAUGCCUGCGAAUCUCAUUUUACACUCUCAGGUGUGUUCUGUGGCUCAGCUGCGAGCGUGCUCGAGAUCUCAGCAAGAGCCAACUGUGAGCAUCUCUUCCCCAGCCUGAGUUCAGUGAUGUCAUGUCGGUGGAUUAACAUCAGUCAUGGUGGGAGUAUUUGCCCCCACGGAUAUUGGUAAUCGCUACAAAUCAAGGUUUUCCCAUCCAAGGGAGUCAGCAGCAGACCACUGCUCAGAGCUGCAGAAAGCUCAACUUUCUGUCUGGACUCGCAACAGUUAUCAUAAAAUUCGCCCUUUAAUUCUCCUCCUCCUGUGGCUUGAGAAAAUGAUAUCAACAGCGCAUUUAAAUUUUCCUGUAGAGAGGAAAUGCGCAGACCAUAAUGAAGGUAAGAAUAUGCUUAUAACCAUAUGUUUGUUCUCACAAAAAAUGUGCUAAUAUAAGAAAUGUUCCAUUUUGAAGUUUUCGGAACCAUGUGGUGGUGGUGGGUUGAAACUUCCCUGGUGGGUUCUUUUAGUUUUUUUCCCCUCAUUUCUUCACAUUGUUCAAUCUAAAGGUUUCUCUACUGCCACCUCCUCCCUGCCUCCCCCAACACCUUGCUCCUUUGUAUUAAGGUGCAGCCUGAAAACAAUCCAAACAAUGUCAUAUUCCAUAUACUUGGGGACAAAGGAAAUGGUUGCUUAGCAACAAGGCACUGGUAAAAAUUUUGAGCAUUCUUUUACUUUUGCUUUCCAUUUUAGGACAAUGCUCAGGAAGCUGGCUGUAA